UACCGAGGUCUCAAGCGUUGUUCGGAAUCACUGGGCGUAAAGCGUGCGUAGGCUGUUUCGUAAGUCGUGUGUGAAAGGCGCGGGCUCAACCCGCGGACGGCACAUGAUACUGCGAGACUAGAGUAAUGGAGGGGGAACCGGAAUUCUCGGUGUAGCAGUGAAAUGCGUAGAUAUCGAGAGGAACACUCGUGGCGAAGGCGGGUUCCUGGACAUUAACUGACGCUGAGGCACGAAGGCCAGGGGAGCGAAAGGG
rnacentral:rRNA from 1 species